rnacentral:rRNA from 1 species
UACGGAGGGUGCAAGCGUUGUCCGGAUUCACUGGGUUUAAAGGGUGCGUAGGUGGGCAGGUAAGUCAGUGGUGAAAUCUCCGGGCUUAACUCGGAAACUGCCGUUGAUACUAUCUGUCUUGAAUAUCGUGGAGGUUAGCGGAAUAUGUCAUGUAGCGGUGAAAUGCUUAGAUAUGACAUAGAACACCGAUUUCGAAGGCAGCUAACCACACGAUCAUUUACACUGAGGCACGAAAGCGUGGGGAGCAAACAGG